rnacentral:lncRNA from 1 species
GUCACGGGGCUAAUGGAGAUUUUCUUAUGAAAUGAGAAGCGAGGAAACAAGUGUAUGGGCUGAUGAGUUACCGUGGACACCUGGAUCCAAACUCCCUUCUUCCAGAACUCUUCUGAGGCCCUCCCGAGUGAGCUGCCUCUCAAAUUUCCCACUUCCGGUGUCAGCCAGUCAUGUCUGUCAGGGAUCCAAGGUGGGCAAACUGACUCUCAAGACCACGGAGAUGGAGACCAUCUACGAUCUGGGUACCAAGAUGAUCGAGUCCCUGACCAAGGACAAGGUCCAGGCCGGGGACGUGAUCACCAUCGACAAGGCCACUGGCAAGAUUUCCAAGCUGGGCCGCUCUUUCACACGUGCCCGAGACUAUGAUGCCAUGGGCUCCCAG